CUACGGGUCGCUGCAGUGGGGAAUAUUGGACAAUGGGGGAAACCCUGAUCCAGCAAUGCCGCGUGUGUGAAGAAGGCCUGCGGGUUGUAAAGCACUUUCGGUUGGGAGGACUGCUUCUAGCACUAAUAUUGUUGGAAGUUGACGUUACCUUCAGAAGAAGCACCGGCUAACUCCGUGCCAGCAGCCGCGGUAAUACGGAGGGUGCAAGCGUAAAUCGGAAUUACUGGGCGUAAAGCGCGCGUAGGCGGCUAGAUCAGUCGGGUGUGAAAGCCCCGGGCUUAACCUGGGAACUGCAUCCGAUACUGUCUAGCUUGAGUACAGGAGAGGAGAGUGGAAUUCCACAUGUAGCGGUGAAAUGCGUAGAUAUGUGGAGGAACACCAAUGGCGAAGGCAGCUCUCUGGCCUGAUACUGACGCUGAGGUGCAAAAGCGUGGGGAGCAAACAGGAUUAGAUACCCGGGUAGUC
rnacentral:rRNA from 1 species